GACCGUGGUCUCUUAUUAUCACGUGACUAAUCAGAACGAGGCUACUUUCAUUUUUGCAUUGCCUACGUUCAGCAUGGGAUCAUUGAUAAUUAAGCCCUAUGAUAUCUUCAGAUUACAGCCUAUUAAGCUGGAAUGCCCCACACAUUAUGGAUGAUAAUUUUGUAAAUUAGAGCAGUACUUUCUCGAGAGGGGCCCUUUGUUUUUCUGGACAUCAGAAUUUUAUAUCAAUGGAUUGUCCUGGAAUUGCCAUACAGCAGGCUUUUUCCAUUGAACUAAAGGAAACUGUCCUUUAACAUGUGCAUGAAGCAGCUCCCUGGAUGGUGUGUAGUCUGUUUGUCAACAUGUGGAGCCCAGGUGUAUAUCAAGCUGUACAGCGACUAUCAGAAUUUCGGAGCAAAUCAAAGAUCUGAUUUUAAUCAGAUUGAUUUCAAAGAAGUAGUAGUCUCCCCUGUUAAAGAUCAGUAAUGGUGGAUAUACAAUGCUGGAUGCAGUCUGGUCAUCAACAGAGAGUUUUGACACCUGUAAUUUGCCUCUGUAACCUUUGCUGUGUUUAUCAGACAGAUGAUGAAUCAGUCUACUUCUUUUUACAAGAGGUGCCCCUCCAGACUCACAAAGAUCCAAAGUUGAGUUUCCAUGACACCUAUUCAGUCUAAUGCAUGUUGGCAACUGAUGCUGGUUCUAUUUUCACCAAGAAGCAUACCAUGCAUACCACCGGUAACCAAGUGACGGACAGGCAUAACCACACUUAGGCAUGCAGCUCUUCGUCCCCUUCCAGAUCUCCUAACCUCUUUGUAAAGCUUUUCUUGGUGACUGGUAAAGUGACAUUUUUACAAUAGAUAGAAAGGAUCCAUGCCUGGCCUCGUUUUUCCUCUCCAUGCUGAUUACAGUCCAGUGAACCAUCACAAACUUGAAACUUUGCGAUGUACCCUUCCUUAUGAUUUGUCCUUGUACCCACCAUUCUCUGCCCAAACAGCCAAUGCAAUGAAGAAGAAAAUGUGGGGUUGAAGUGGAUUAAAGAUCAACUUUUCUAUAUGACAGCAAAUAUUUUCUUGGUGCAUUGUAUAUUUGACUUGUAGAACAAGAAUUUAUCGAAGUUGU